AACGAACGCUGGCGGCAGGCUUAACACAUGCAAGUCAAACGCCCCUUACGGGGAGUGGCAGACGGGUGAGUAACGAGUGGGAAUCUACCGUGCCCUGCGGAAUAGCUCCGGGAAACUGGACUUAAUACCGCAUACGCCCUACGGGGGAAGGCUUUAUCGGGGUAUGAUGAGCCCGCGUUGGAUUAGCUAGUUGGUGGGUUAAAGGUCUACCAAGGCGACGAUCCAUCGCUGGUCUGAGAGGAUGAUCAGCCACAUGGGGACUGAGACACGGCCCAAACUCCUACGGGAGGCAGCAGUUGGGAAUAUUGGACAAUGGGCGCAAGCCUGAUCCAGCCAUGCCGCGUGAGUGAUGAAGGCCUUAGGGUUGUAAAGCUCUUUCACCGAUGAAGAUAAUGACGGUAGUCGGAGAAGAAGCCCCGGCUAACUUCGUGCCAGCCGCCGCUGUAAGAC
rnacentral:rRNA from 1 species